rnacentral:rRNA from 1 species
GACGAACGCUGGCGGCGUGCCUAAUACAUGCAAGUUGAGCGCUGAAGGUUGGUACUUGUACCGACUGGAUGAGCAGCGAACGGGUGAGUAACGCGUGGGGAAUCUGCCUUUGAGCGGGGGACAACAUUUGGAAACGAAUGCUAAUACCGCAUAAAAACUUUAAACACAAGUUUUAAGUUUGAAAGAUGCAAUUGCAUCACUCAAAGAUGAUCCCGCGUUGUAUUAGCUAGUUGGUGAGGUAAAGGCUCACCAAGGCGAUGAUACAUAGCCGACCUGAGAGGGUGGUCGGCCACAUUGGGACUGAGACACGGCCCAAACUCCUACGGGAGGGAGCAGUAGGGAAUCUUCGGCAAUGGACGAAAGUCUGACCGAGCAACGCCGCGUGAGUGAAGAAGGUUGUCGGAUCGUAAAACUCGGUUGGUAGAGAAGAACGUUGGUGAGAGUGGAAAGCUCAUCAAGUGACGGUAACUACCCAGAAAGGGACGGCUAACUACGUG